UACGUAGGGGGCAAGCGUUGUCCGGAAUCAUUGGGCGUAAAGAGCGUGUAGGUGGCUCGGUAAGUCCGCUGUAAAAGUCCAGGGCUCAACCCUGGAAAGCCGGUGGAAACUGUCGAGCUAGAGUCCGGAAGAGGCGAGUGGAAUUCCUGGUGUAGCGGUGAAAUGCGCAGAUAUCAGGAGGAACACCGGUGGCGAAGGCGGCAUCCUGGACCGGCACUGACGCUGAGGAGCGAAAGCCAGGGGAGCAAACGGG
rnacentral:rRNA from 1 species